AACCAUAGAAACCUGCGGAGUACCUGCGGAAGGAUCAUUACAGAGUUCAUGCCCUCACGGGUAGAUCUCCCACCCUUGAAUACUAUACCUUUGUUGCUUUGGCGGGCCGCUUUGGCUACUGGCUCUGGCUAGUAAGUGCCCGCCAAAGAACCCCAAAACUCUGAAUAUUAGUGUCGUCUGAGUACUAUAUAAUAGCUAAAACUUUUAACAACGGAUCU
rnacentral:misc_RNA from 1 species